UGUUGUGGCAUCAACCAAAGGGCGUGGCUGAAGAAGCUCUUAGGAGUAAAAGAUCAACUGAUCAUGUUCUACUUAGCUACUUGUUUGAUUCUGAGCCAAAUUGGAAUGAGAUGGAAUUCUUGAUAAAAUGGAAAGGCCAAUCCCAUUUACACUGUCAGUGGAAAUCAUUUUCUGAGCUUCAGAAUCUUAGUGGUUUUAAGAAGGUUUAGAAUUACACUAAAAAGGUAACGGACGAAGUCAGGUUCAGGAAGACAGUCACACGUGAGGAGAUUGAGGUUAAUGAUGUGAGCAAGGAGAUGGACUUGGACCUCAUCAAGCAAAAUAGUCAGGUGGAAAGGAUAAUUUCAGAUCGCAUUAGUAAAGACAGUUCUGGAGAUGUAAUUCCAGAGUACCUAGUCAAGUGGCAAGGGUUAUCUUAUGCUGAAGCGACAUGGAUUAUAGGUUUGCUCUUUUGUGCAAUUGUUCUUUCGCAGACUCUUUCUAUUAAUUUAGGA